GACGAACGCUGGCGGCGUGCCUAAUACAUGCAAGUAGAACGCUGAAGAGAGGAGCUUGCUCUUCUUGGAUGAGUUGCGAACGGGUGAGUAACGCGUAGGUAACCUGCCUUGUAGCGGGGGAUAACUAUUGGAAACGAUAGCUAAUACCGCAUAACAAUAGGUGACACAUGUCAUUUAUUUGAAAGGGGCAAUUGCUCCACUACAAGAUGGACCUGCGUUGUAUUAGCUAGUAGGUGAGGUAACGGCUCACCUAGGCGACGAUACAUAGCCGACCUGAGAGGGUGAUCGGCCACACUGGGACUGAGACACGGCCCAGACUCCUACGGGAGGCAGCAGUAGGGAAUCUUCGGCAAUGGGGGCAACCCUGACCGAGCAACGCCGCGUGAGUGAAGAAGGGUUUCGGAUCGUAAAGCUCUGUUAUAAGUCAAGAACGAGUGUGAGAGUGGAAAGUUCACACUGUGACGGUAGCUUACCAGAAAGGGACGGCUAACUACGUG
rnacentral:rRNA from 1 species